rnacentral:sRNA from 12 species
CCGCCCCCGACGACAAGGUAGCCAGUUGAGGCUGCCUUCCUCUUACGAGGAUAGUCGGGGGCGUUUUA